AGAGUUUGAUCAUGGCUCAGAUUGAACGCUGGCGGAAUGCUUUACACAUGCAAGUCGAGCGGCAGCGCGGGGCAACCUGGCGGCGAGCGGCGAACGGGUGAGUAAUGCAUCGGAACAUGUCCAUGUCGUGGGGGAUAGCCCGGCGAAAGCCGGAUUAAUACCGCAUACGCCCGAGAGGGGAAAGUGGGGGACCGCAAGGCCUCACGCGAUUGGGUUGGCCGAUGUCCGAUUAGCUAGUUGGCGGGGUAAGAGCCCACCAAGGCGAUGAUCGGUAGCUGGUCUGAGAGGAUGAUCAGCCACACUGGGACUGAGACACGGCCCAGACUCCUACGGGAGGCAGCAGUGGGGAAUUUUGGACAAUGGGGGCAACCCUGAUCCAGCCAUUCCGCGUGAGUGAAGAAGGCCUUCGGGUUGUAAAGCUCUUUUGUCCGGAACGAAACGGUGCACGUGAAUAUCGUGCGCUACUGACGGUACCGGAAGAAUAAGCACCGGCUAACUACGUGCCAGCAGCCGCGGUAAUACGUAGGGUGCGAGCGUUAAUCGGAAUUACUGGGCGUAAAGCGUGCGCAGGCGGUUUUGUAAGCCAGAUGUGAAAUCCCCGGGCUUAACCUGGGAAUGGCAUUUGGGACUGCAAGGCUGGAGUGUGGCAGAGGAGACUGGAAUUCCUGGUGUAGCAGUGAAAUGCGUAGAUAUCAGGAGGAAUACCGAUGGCGAAGGCAGGUCUCUGGGCUGACACUGACGCUCAUGCACGAAAGCGUGGGGAGCAAACAGGAUUAGAUACCCUAGUAGUCC
rnacentral:rRNA from 1 species